rnacentral:rRNA from 1 species
UAGGGAAUCUUCCGCAAUGGACGCAAGUCUGACGGAGCAACGCCGCGUGAGUGAAGAAGGAUUUCGGUUCGUAAAACUCUGUUGUUAGAGAAGAACAGCGCAUAGAGUAACUGUUAUGCGUGUGACGGUAUCUAACCAGAAAGCCACGGCUAACUACGUGCCAGCAGCCGCGGUAAUACGUAGGUCCCGAGCGUUGUCCGGAUUUAUUGGGCGUAAAGCGAGCGCAGGCGGUUAGAUAAGUCUGAAGUUAAAGGCAGUGGCUCAACCAUUGUAGGCUUUGGAAACUGUUUAGCUUGAGUGCAGAAGGGGAGAGUGGAAUUCCAUGUGUAGCGGUGAAAUGCGUAGAUAUAUGGAGGAACACCGGUGGCGAAAGCGGCUCUCUGGUCUGUAACUGACGCUGAGGCUCGAAAGCGUGGGGAGCGAACAGG